rnacentral:lncRNA from 1 species
AUUUUGGAGAGACAGUUUGAUCAGAUGACUAAGCCAGCUAGUCCAGCAAUCAAAGAACUUUCAGAACUUGUUAUACAAUGAAAAGUCAAAACUAAAUGGAGUAACCAUGAAUGUGUUGGAGAACUUCUCGAAAUUCCGGUCUGUUCCAGAAUGUGGUUGUCUUAUUUGUCUUGUGUCCCUCUACGAGUUUCCUUCACUGCAGUUGAGACUACUGUGUAUGUUUUGGAUCCCAAGACUAGCAGUGACUGGCAUCUUCACCAUCCCUGAGUGAAGAGUGCAGGCAAGCAUGUGGAGCUUAUUUCCACAGUGUGCAACUGAAGAAGGGCUUGUGGAAACAAUUGCAGUGACAAUAUACUCAAUACUGGAAUUUGAUCUCAACCUCAACAUUGCUUAUCUAAAUAGUUCCAAAAUUUACAGAUAUUAAUAAGGACUGGGGACCCCACCAGUGGCCUUGCAUAGGCUAGGGGUUUAAAAGAUGAAAUGGAAAUGCCCUCCCCCGAUAAUGAAAUUGAUGCUAUCCUAGAGCCUUCAUCCAGGGGCUGAUAUAAGCAGAGGCAGACACCCUCAGCUAAACACUGAACUGAACUCCUGGAAUCCAGUUGCAGAGAGGAAGGAGUGAAGAGCAAAGGGGUCAAGACCGAGCUACUGAAACCCACAGAAACUGCUGACUUGAACAAGGGGUGCUCAUGGACCCUAGACUGAUGGCUGGGAGACCAGUCUGGGACUGACCCAGAAUCCCUGAACAUGGGUGUAGGUUAGGAGGCCUCGGCGAUCUAUGGGGCCUCUGGCAGUGGAUCAGUAUUUAUCCCUGGAGUACAAAUGGACUUUGGCAGCCCAUUUCACGUGGAGGGAUGCUCUCUCAUCCUGGAUACAUGGGGGAAGCCCUAGGCCCUGCCCCAUACGGUAUGACAGACUUUAGGGAUCCCCCAUGGAGAGCCUCACUCUCCCUGGGGAGUGGAGAGAUGUCAUGGGGAAGGGGUUGGUGGGAGAUGGGGGAGAAGGGGAGGGAGAGGGAGCUGGGAUUGACAUGUGAAGCAGACUUGUUUCUAAUUUAAAUUUUAAAAAAGUGAUGAUUUUCCAUGUUUAAUGCACUUGGAUAUUCUAUUUUUGUAGAUAAUUCCAUUUGGUGAGAAUGGCUAUGCUUUAAAAUAGGUAACUUUAUUUGACAACCCAUGGCUUCUGGGAGGAGCAUUAAUCUCUGUGUUGGAAGUUAGAGUUAUAUUUUAUAGAUUAGUAAAUUGCUAUAUGGCUUUUCAAACAUCUCCAAUAUUUGUUAUCCUUCCCCAUCCCAUCCUCCUCCCUACCCUCACAACUUCCUCCAACAUAAACCUCCCUCCUUGUCAUUUCCCUAUUUUUAUAUAUUAAUUAGCUCAUAAAGUAGCAUGUUUCCACAUGGGAUUUCACUUGGUUGAUUUUCCUCUCUCAUUCUCCCUGUCCCUCCCUGUCACCAAUACUCCCCCUUCUACUUUAUUCUAUUACAGAAUCUCCAUAAGCCCUCUUUUUGUUAAUUCUCAUGACCCCUGUCUAGUUUCUUGGGCUUUGUCCGUGUUUACUUUCACUUGGAUGCACAUGUUUAACAGUUAAGGUCUAAGAAUUGUAUAUAAGAGAAAACAUAUGUCUUCCAAUGUUAU